rnacentral:rRNA from 1 species
AAGUCUCCUGGAAUGGAGCGUCAUAUAGGGUGAGAAUCCCGUCUUUGACACGGACUACCGAGGCUUUGUGGUGCGCUCUCAAAGAGUCGAGUUGUUUGGGAAUGCAGCUCAAAAUGGGUGGUAAAUUCCAUCUAAAGCUAAAUAUUGGCGAGAGACCGAUAGCGAACAAGUACCGUGAGGGAAAGAUGAAAAGAACUUUGGAAAGAGAGUUAAACAGUACGUGAAAUUGCUGAAAGGGAAACGCUUGAAGUCAGUCCC